UACGUAAGUGGCGAGCGUUAUCCGGAAUCACUGGGCGUAAAGCGUGCGUAGGCGGUGCGGUAAGUUGGAAUUGAAAGACCAGGGCUCAACUCUGGACCCGGUUCCAAAACUGCCGUACUUGAGCAGAUCAGAGGACAGUGGAAUUCCCGGUGUAGCGGUAAUAUGCGUAGAUAUCGGGAGGAACACCAGUGGCGGAAGGCGACUGUCUGGGGUCUUGCUGACGCUCAUGCACGAAAGCGUGGGGAGCAAACAGG
rnacentral:rRNA from 1 species